rnacentral:snoRNA from 1 species
UGGGAAAUAUAGUGAAAAACAAAUGGCCCAGGCACUGUCCUAGUGAAAUAAACGAUUCCCGCAACAAAACGUUCAGUGAUUGGCCUAAAAUCUGUGGAUCACCGAAUCGCCGCCGCCGGUUUCAGAUAUUUGUGUACAUU